AGUAAUAUAUCGGAACGUGCCCAGUCGUGGGGGAUACGUAAGCUAAAGCUACGCUAAUACCGCAUACGAUCUAUGGAUGAAANCGGGGGAUCGCAAGACCUCGCGCGAUUGGAGCGGCCGAUAUCAGAUUAGGUAGUUGGUGAGGUAAAGGCUCACCAAGCCGACGAUCUGUAGCUGGUCUGAGAGGACGACCAGCCACACUGGGACUGAGACACGGCCCAGACUCCUACGGGAGGCAGCAGUGGGGAAUUUUGGACAAUGGGCGCAAGCCUGAUCCAGCAAUGCCGCGUGCAGGAUGAAGGCCUUCGGGUUGUAAACUGCUUUUGUACGGAACGAAACGGUGAGCUCUAAUACAGUUUGCUAAUGACGGUACCGUAAGAAUAAGCACCGGCUAACUACGUG
rnacentral:rRNA from 1 species